AAUGACAUCAGGACAGCGGUGACAUCACGGUGACGUCACAGUGAGACAUUAACUGGGAUCUGCUCCGCACUCGCUUUCUUCCGGAAUGUCCUGCAGGUCUAAACGUAGACAACACGCAUUGUUACCAUAUAUAAAGCUGACCUCUGGGACUGUCAGCGCGAGGAGAGAUCUUCACCACAUCUUCACCGUCUGCUUCCUGAAGGCCGUCUAAUUGGUCGACCGGGUCAUGAGUGGCCAAUGGGGCGAGGGGGUGUGGCUCCUGCUCUCUGCUGCCCCGCCUCCUCCUCAGCUGCGCAAUCAAGACAUUUUCAAAUGACGUCAUUGGGCGGACAUGGAAAACCAAGAUGUCCGACAUCAACAGCACCCGAACAUCUGGACACACCCACAGGUCAGGUCAUGUGACUCGCCAAGCCUCGCCUACAUGCUCCUCCUCUACCUUUCAU